AUUUUGGACAAUGGGGGGAAACCCUGAUCCAGCCAUCCCGCGCGUAUGAUGAAGGCCUUCGGGUUGUAAAGUACUUUUGGUAGAGAUGAAAAGGUAUCUCCUAAUACGAGAUACUGCUGACGGUAUCUGCACAAUAAGCACCGGCUCACUACGUGCCAGCAGCCGCGGUACUACGUAGGGUGCAAGCGUUAAUCGGAAUUACUUGGCGUAAAGCGAGGGUAGGGGGUUCGGAAAGAAAGAUGGGAAAGCACAGGGCUCAACCUUGGAACUGCAUUGUUAACUGCCGAGCUAGAGUAUGUCAGAGGGGGGUGGAAUUCCACGUGUAGCAGUGAAAUGCGUAGAUAUGUGGAGGAAUACCGAUGGCGAAGGCAGCCCCCUGGGAUAAUACUGACGCUCAGACACGAAAGCGUGGGGAGCAAACA
rnacentral:rRNA from 1 species